AUGCUAUCGGAUUGAUACUAAGCCAUGCGAGUCAUUGUAGUAAUACAAGGCAGACGGCUCAGUAACGCGUAGUCAACCUAACCUAUGGACGGGAAUAACCUCGGGAAACUGAGUAUAAUGCCCGAUAGAACAUUAUGCCUGGAAUGGUUUAUGUUCCAAAUGAUUUAUCGCCGUAGGAUGGGACUGCGGCCUAUCAGUUUGUUGGUGAGGUAAUGGCCCACCAAGACUAUUACAGGUACGGGCUCUGAGAGGAGUAGCCCGGAGAUGGGUACUGAGACACGGACCCAGGCCCUAUGGGGCGCAGCAGGCGAGAAAACUUUGCAAUGUGCGAAAGCACGACAAGGUUAAUCCGAGUGGUUCCUGCUAAAGGAACCUUUUGUCGGUCCUAGAAACACCGAUGGAUAAGGGGUGGGCAAGUUCUGGUGUCAGCCGCCGCGGUAAAACCAGCACCUCAAGCGGUCAGGAUGAUUAUUGGGCCUAAAGCAUCCGUAGCCGGCUCUGUAAGUUUUCGGUUAGAUCUGUACGCUCAACGUACAGGCUGCCGGGAAUACUGCAGAGCUAGGGAGUGGGAGAGGUAGACGGUACUCGUAGGAAGGGGUAAAAUCCUUUGAC
rnacentral:rRNA from 1 species